GGAUGUGAGGGCGAUCUGGCUGCGACCUCUGUCACCCCAUUGAUUCAGCUGAUCUGGCUGGCUAGGCAGGUGUCCCCUUCCUCCCUCACCGCUCCAUGUGCGUCCCCCACCCCCACCCCUGAAGCUGCACGCUCCUUCCCUGAUAGGAGGAGGACCGUCCUUCCUCCCGUCAAGGGUAUGUGAGGCACUGCACAGCCCUGCUCCGAACAAGUCUCAAGAAGGGAGGGGAGCCAGGUGGCAUCGUGCCUAUUCCUUGACUGGAACUGACCUAAUGAUGCAUUCAAUCACCA
rnacentral:snRNA from 1 species